rnacentral:misc_RNA from 1 species
GCUUUUACCACUCAAGAUGUAUAUGUUUCAAAAGAAAUUAUACCAUACCCUUCUGGGUACCACGCUAGCUGAAACAACCAACAAGAAGCCAUUUGAAUCCCCUCAAAAGUUGGAUCAAACAAGAACUCAAAAGCACAAAUCAAUAACAUGGUAUAUAAAUCACUAAGAAUUUUGAGCAGAGUAAAAUGGGAACCGCGCCAUUUACAGAAUUCAAAUUCAACAAAAACCCAG